UACGUAGGGGGCAAGCGUUGUCCGGAAUCAUUGGGCGUAAAGCGCGCGUAGGCGGCCCGGUAAGUCCGCUGUAAAAGUCCAGGGCUCAACCCUGGAACGCCGGUGGAUACUGCCUGGCUAGAGUCCGGAAGAGGAGAAUGGAAUUCCCGGUGUAGCGGUGAGAUGCGCAGAUAUCGGGAAGAACACCCGUGGCGAAGGCGGUUCUCUGGGACGGUACUGACGCUGAGACGCGAAAGCGUGGGGAGCGAACAGG
rnacentral:rRNA from 1 species